GAUGAACGCUGGCGGCGUGCUUAACACAUGCGAGUCGAACGAUGAAGCCCAGCUUGCUGGGUGGAUUAGUGGCGAACGGGUGAGUAACACGUGAGCAACCUGCCCCUGACUCUGGGAUAAGCGCUGGAAACGGCGUCUAAUACUGGAUAUGUCCCGUCACCGCAUGGUGUGCGGGUGGAAAGAUUUUUCGGUUGGGGAUGGGCUCGCGGCCUAUCAGCUUGUUGGUGAGGUAAUGGCUCACCAAGGCGUCGACGGGUAGCCGGCCUGAGAGGGUGACCGGCCACACUGGGACUGAGACACGGCCCAGACUCCUACGGGAGGCAGCAGUGGGGAAUAUUGCACAAUGGGCUGAAGCCUGAUGCAGCAACGCCGCGUGAGGGAUGACGGCCUUCGGGUUGUAAACCUCUUUUAGCAGGGAAGAAGCGAAAGUGACGGUACCUGCAGAAAAAGCACCGGCUAACUACGUG
rnacentral:rRNA from 1 species